GACCUGCACCAAGGCCGCCAGCGCGAAGAAGGCGGCCAUGAGUCCGUUGCAGGCCCGCCACAGCGCUGGCGCCAUGGCUCGGAGAACACGGCGCGGGGCGGCCCCUAAGGUAAAAGCCUUGCUCCAAGUCCCCUUCUGACUUCUAGUCACUUCCGUGCUGCCAGCAGAGGGCGUGGGAUUCUUCCUGAGGAGCCUGAGUCUCAGCUUUGCCAGGUCCUUGCUGUGUGACCUUGGGCACCUGUGCUCCCUUGACAAAGAGGAAUAAAACCUCUUCAGACUACUCUCCUAUCGAUUCUCUCCUGGAACAUAUGACCACCAUCAAUUAUAGCUCCUGUGGGGCUAUUGCAGAGGAGAAACUUCUGGAACAGAGAGCUCCUUGUCCAGGGAUGCUGCAUCUGGGUGAGCUGCUCCUUGGAUAUGGUGCAAGUGUGGCCAGGGUGUGGUGUGGAAGGAGCAGAAGUCUUCAGGACUGAAUCUGGAUGGACCACUGUGACAGCUGUAUACCCAGGUGGUACCAGUUUCCCUCUCUGCAGAAGUCCCCCCAACAGCACCAUUCUCAGUGCCAUACCUGGCCUCAUCAGGGCUCUGAUGCAAGACACUGUAUAUGCAGAAUAUAUUAUUUCAUCCUCACAACAGUUCUGUAUCUUCCACAUUUUAUAGGCUAAGGAAAUAGGCUCAGGGUAGUCAAGUAGCUUUCCCAAAGGCACACAGCAGCAGAAGGGGAUUUGAACCCAAUUUGGGCUAUCUCCAAACCCCACACUUUCGGAAUAACUGUGGAGGUAUCAGGAUGCAUCUAUUAUAUGUCAGGGGACUGCUAGAGACUCAAAGCCCUCCCCUCCUGUCCAUAGGAAAGGAGAGACCCCUUAGUACUGAUUGCUUUGGUGGGGCUCUGGCACUCCGCAGUGAUCACCUAUAGGAAAACAUGGAGUAUCAGAAUAUUGGUCUCUCAGGAACCUGGCUUUGUGGGGUGGUUUGAGGCAGUAGUUGCCCCUUCAUAUGUGCACCCAGGCCCCUGCCAGACAGGUAAUCACAUUGCCUCCUCCUUGUGGCAGAUUAUAUUUCCCAGAAAGUGCCUGCAACAAUACUUCCAGUCCCAUAUGUGCUUCUAGAGCCGGUCACUCUCUCAGUUUAAAGGUGGAGUCUAUUUCCCUUCCCCUUAAGACUGCCUCAGUGGUUAGACUAUGGCAAGAAAGAUAUCAUGUGACUUCCAAGACAAAUCCUAAAAGGCAACACAGCUUCCACCUGGCUCUUUCUAUUUUGAGCCACUUACCUAUGGAACACCAGCCACCAUGUUGGAAGGAAGCCCAGGUGACAUGGAGAAGCAUCUGUGAGUGCUCUGGCAGGCACGCCAGCUUGAAUCUCAGCCAUCAGCCAGCAUCAACCACCAGAUGCGUGAGAGAGAGCCUUCACAUGACUUCAGGCCUCAGCCUGCAAGCUGUCCCAGCUUAUGCUGAGUGAGCACAGACAACCUAUCCCUGCUGAGCCCUGUCCAGUCUGCAGAUUUCUGAGCAAAAUAAAUGAUGUUAUUGUUUUAAGCCACUGAGUUUUGGCAUAGUUUGUUAUGCAGCCAUAGUAACU
rnacentral:lncRNA from 1 species